CCUGAUGCAGCAACGCCGCGUGAGGGACGACGGCCUUCGGGUUGUAAACCUCUUUUAGCAGGGAAGAAGCGAAAGUGACGGUACCUGCAGAAAAAGCACCGGCUAACUACGUGCCAGCAGCCGCGGUAAUACGUAGGGUGCAAGCGUUAUCCGGAAUUAUUGGGCGUAAAGAGCUCGUAGGCGGUUUGUCGCGUCUGCUGUGAAAACCCGAGGCUCAACCUCGGGCCUGCAGUGGGUACGGGCAGACUAGAGUGCGGUAGGGGAGAUUGGAAUUCCUGGUGUAGCGGUGGAAUGCGCAGAUAUCAGGAGGAACACCGAUGGCGAAGGCAGAUCUCUGGGCCGUAACUGACGCUGAGGAGCGAAAGGGUGGGGAGCAAACAGGCUUAGAUACCCUGGUAGUCCACCCCGUAAACGUUGGGAACUAGUUGUGGGGUCCAUUCCACGGAUUCCGUGACGCAGCUAACGCAUUAAGUUCCCCGCCUGGGGAGUACGGCCGCAAGGCUAAAACUCAAAGGAAUUGACGGGGACCCGCACAAGCGGCGGAGCAUGCGGAUUAAUUCGAUGCAACGCGAAGAACCUUACCAAGGCUUGACAUAUACGAGAACGCUGCAGAAAUGUAGAACUCUUUGGAC
rnacentral:rRNA from 1 species